rnacentral:misc_RNA from 1 species
GUGAAAAAAUAAGCAUUUGCUCAUGGUCGUUUGCUUUUGUUACUUUGUAGAAUUUAAAGUCGAAUACUUUUCCAACAAAAUGUAGUAUUUUAGAUUCACCGUUCAACCAUGCCAGUGAUCAAGGUACGGGGAGUCGAAAUUGAUUUCCCAUACAAGCCUUACGACUGCCAAGUAAACUACAUGAGCAAAGUGAUUGAAUGUUUGCAAGAGGGUAAAAAUGGUAUCUUAGAAUCACCAACAGGAACUGGAAAGACAUUAUGUUUACUUUGUGCAACACUGGCCUGGAGAGACACAUUUGUGGCUCGCUUGCAACUGAGUAUGAAGGUUCAAGAAAAUAAAGCAAGUGGCCAGUUUUGUGAUGAUUUAGAAAGAAACCAUGCUGCUGAUGGCUGGAUGUCAGAAGAAAGUGAAGACCGAAAGUAUGCGUGCUAGGAUCACGUGACCAGCUGUGCAUUCAUCCCCAGGUUCCUGAACAAGAAACACACACGGCCAAGGCA